AAAGGGCACUCUAAUGAGACUGCCGGUGACAAACCGGAGGAAGGUGGGGAUGACGUCAAGUCAUCAUGGCCCUUACGAGUAGGGCUACACACGUGCUACAAUGGCAUCUACAGUGGGUUAAUCCCCAAAAGAUGUCUCAGUUCGGAUUGGGGUCUGCAACUCGACCCCAUGAAGUCGGAAUCGCUAGUAAUCGCGUAACAGCAUGACGCGGUGAAUACGUUCCCGGGCCUUGUACACACCGCCCGUCACACCAUGGGAGUGGGUUGCACCAG
rnacentral:rRNA from 1 species